GAUGAACGCUGGCGGCGUGCCUAAUACAUGCAAGUCGAGCGAACGGACGAGAAGCUUGCUUCUCUGAUGUUAGCGGCGGACGGGUGAGUAACACGUGGAUAACCUACCUAUAAGACUGGGAUAACUUCGGGAAACCGUAGCUAAUACCGGAUAAUAUUUUGAACCGCAUGGUUCAAAAGUGAAAGACGGUCUUGCUGUCACUUAUAGAUGGAUCCGCGCUGCAUUAGCUAGUUGGUAAGGUAACGGCUUACCAAGGCAACGAUGCAUAGCCGACCUGAGAGGGUGAUCGGCCACACUGGAACUGAGACACGGUCCAGACUCCUACGGGAGGCAGCAGUAGGGAAUCUUCCGCAAUGGGCGAAAGCCUGACGGAGCAACGCCGCGUGAGUGAUGAAGGUCUUCGGAUCGUAAAACUCUGUUAUUAGGGAAGAACAUAUGUGUAAGUAACUGUGCACAUCUUGACGGUACCUAAUCAGAAAGCCACGGCUAACUACGAG
rnacentral:rRNA from 1 species